CAUGCGGGGAACCCCAUGUGGGACUCGAUCUUGGGUCUCCAGGAUCACGCCCUGGGCCAAAGGCAGAUGCUCAACUGCUGAGCCACCCAGGAGGUCCCCCACUUUUCUAACUCCAGGGCUAUUACAGUUUCCCACAAGAAGUUUUACAUCUUAACUAAUCUGGUGAGAGAAAAAGUUCAGAGACGAUAUGUUUUUCUUUUCCUGCACAUUUUUUUUUCUUGUUGAUUUUUGGGAGCUCUUUGUAUACCAAGGAUGUAGUUUAACCAAGUAGUGUAUCUCUUCUUUUACUAUUAUAGGUGAGAUCGUCUGAUACAUUUUGCAGCUUUUUUUUUUUCCCCGCAUGAAGGAAACUAAAUAUUCAUUAAGCCCUUGCUGUUUUACUAAAUUGUCGUUUAAAUAGCUUUUUUUUAGUUACUUUGAGUUUUUCAUAUAGUCCUAUCAUCUGCAAAUUAACUUUGCCUUUGUCCUCAUUUUUUAAAAUUAUUUUUUAUAUAUUUUUUAAAGAUUUUACUUAUUUAUUCAUGAGAGACAGAGAGAGAGGCAGAGACAGAGGCAGAGAGAGAAGCAGGCUCCAUGCAGGGAGCCCGACAUGGGACUCGAUCUCGGGUCUCCAGGAUCACGCCCUAGGCCGAAGGCGACGCUAUACCGCUGAGCCAUGGGGCUGCCCUGUCCUCAUUUUUAAAUCUCAAUUCUUUCUUGUCUAGUUGAAUUGACCAGCACUUCCAGACGAUGUUAAACCUCUGGGGGAGUUGGGUGGAUUCUGUGGGCAUCCCCCUCCACCCUCCUGUAUUUGGUGGCAGGAUUGCCAGUAUUUGUUCAUUAUAUUGAGUGCUGUUUUUGGCUUGAGAUUCUGCAGUUAAAUGAGGGCAAUAUCUAUCAUUGCUUAUUAUUAUUUUUUAAAAAUUGUAUUUAUUUUUUGCUUAUUGUUUAUUGAGGGAUAUUGAGUAAUGGAUACUCUACAGUACAAAGUACGAUUUUACCCUCUGAUUUUGUUUCCUGAUGCAUGAAUAUGGCUAUUAACAAACUUCCUAUCGAACCAUCUCUGCAUCUUGUGUGAGCCUUCUUAAGAUGGAUUUUUUUUUCAAAGACUUUAGGUAAGCUCUAUACCCAAAGUGGGGCUCGAACUUACAACCCUGACACCAAGAGUUGCAUCCUCUACCGACUGAGCCCGCCAGGUGCCCCUUAAGAUCUAUUUUUUGAAAGUUGCCAUUAGAGCUUAUAAAAAACUUUAGUUGGUGUUUUUACACCCAUGUUGACGGUGACCCUCCACGUGGGUACUUCCAUGUAUAUUCCCACAGUGGCCACUCUCACAGGCCUGGGACAAACAUCCUAGUGCACCUGUUACCUGCCCAGCCUCUCUCACUGAGCUCCCUUGGUCACCUCCUUCACAGGCUUCACCUUUGACAUCUGGAGGGAGGGUGAGCAGAGCCCAGGACUGAUGGUUCUCCUGGGACUCCCACUCCAUGACGUCUUCCAGGGUCCAACUCUGGAGUAGUGCCCACGCAGUCCUCACCUGAAAUGAUCAGGCUAUGUCCUUGGCAGGGCAGAGUUCCCACAGACCCUCGUGUGUUUGUUGAAUGGCUUGGUGAAGGCUCUCUAGUUUCCUGAGAGCUCAGGUUGUGGCUGGACUAAGUCCUGUCUCUGAAUUCUCACCUUCAGUCGCAAGCAAGGCCCAGCACUGACGCUCUCUCCUCCAGGCUGACGUCCAGAGGUAUCCCCAUUCCCCUCCCACCCUCCGGGCUUCACCGCAACCGGACAGGCUGAAGGCACCGUGUCUGGCUCUGACCCUACCAGCCGGGGGCUCCUGUGUCUUCUUGGAACGUGGCCUUUUUCAGUGUGGGGAACCUGCAAAGAGCCUCCGUAUUGUUGUCCAGCCCAAAGGGCAGCCCUGGACACGGGUGGAGGGAAGACAGAGGCUAGACAAGCUGGGCCAGCACAGGUCUUUAUUUGAGUUUGGGCAUGAUGCGAAUGAAGAGGAUCAUGCUGAUGAAGAUGAAGCAGACGAUAAUAAGCAUGGCCCAGAGCAGCCAGUUGACCGACUUCUGUGUGUGCUGCUCCAGCCGCUCCGAUUCGGUCUUCAGCUUCUCCAGGUUCUGGUCAGCCAUCUUGAGGGAGUGUGACAGGGUCUGUGGGCGAGGUGGGGAGGUCAACGGGACUGUGGCCAAGUGUGGCCUCUCCCUGCCGCCUGGGGGCAAGUCUGCUCCUCUUGGCCCUUGCUAGUACUAUGUUCUCUGCUGGGGGGUCCACGUCUGCCUUCUGUCAAACUUCUAUCAUCUGAGAGCCCUGGCCACGAGGCCCCUCUGCUGGGGAGCCAUCUCUGGUGUCCCCGGGCAGAGGCUAGGAAGUUCCCCCGGCCCUCACACCUGGUUGUCCUUCUUAAUGACGCUCUGGGCGGCCAGCGUGUUGCUCUUGAGGCUCCUUGCCAGGCCCAGCAUCUCCUCCGCCAGCUUCUCCUGGAGGUCCUGAUGCCGCUGCAGGACGACGUCUAGCUCGGCUGCUGACUGUUUCUCAUCCCCUGAUCUGGGCCCUGCCACCCCGCUGACCUCACACAGAGGUGGACGGGUGGGCAGGAGACAGGGUGGAGGAGUGGGAAGAGACCAACACAUUCCCAGGGAGCCCAGAGGUUAUGGCUCCAGCCCCUGCCCUGCGUAGGGUUCCGUUUCCCCUUCUUCACUUUGGCUUUUUGGAAGAGCAUCCCCAGAAGUGGCUUCUGAUCGGUGAUUUAGAUGCUUGCGGGGGCCUUCAUGGUUUGGUGCCUCAGUGGUCCCAGGUUCAUCCCGCCCCACCCUCCACCCUCCACCCUUCCCAUCCCCGUGCUCCCCCCAAGGGCUGAAGACACUCACAUUCUCUUCCUCACAUCCAGCUUGGGCUCUGGAAGCAAAAAAGGCCAAGCAGGAAGAAGGAGAAGAUUGGUUUCCUGUUUCCCAGCUUCCUGAUGGUUGCUUGUGAUGUGUCUGCUACUCAUCAUGUCGUUUCCUGUCUUAUCUGCUUCCCAGCGAGCUCCUGAUCAUGCUUCAAAGCUCUAGCUCAAAAGUCCUCUCUUCUAAGCAGUUUUCCUCACUUCUAUUUGGGCUCUCCCAGGCCCCAGGCCCCCUCUGUUGGCUUACCCUUGGCCCUGCGGCCUGGGGGUAUCCAGCUUUCUUCCCUCUGGGGGCCAGCUCCUCUGUCCUGGCAUCCCCAUCAGGCACAGCUAGGUGACACCCCUGGGGCUACACUCCCUGGGCUGUGGGAGACCCCAGGGGAGCCAGGCGCAGGAUGUGAGGCAGCGUGACAAUUAAGCCUCAAGUCCUGUUUUACUCAGGGUGACUCACCUCCAGCAGAAUCCUAUGGGAAAAAGGGAGAGCCAUGAAGUCACCUGCCUUGUCCUGCACCCCAAACUAUCCUUUCUGCUCUCAGACUCUGCCCCCACAACCCCCCGCCGGCAAGUCCCAUGACCUCAGGAUCUCAGUUUCUUCAUAUUUUGAAGGGUUUAGCUGAUCCACAUAAAAGGCUCAAAAAGACACUUGCCGUCCUAUUUUGCAGAUGGAAAAACUUGUCUAUUUGUGGCAAGAUGAGAUAAAGUCAUGUAACUGGCAAA